GAUGAACGCUGGCGGCGUGCCUAAUACAUGCAAGUCGAGCGAACAGACGAGGAGCUUGCUCCUCUGACGUUAGCGGCGGACGGGUGAGUAACACGUGGAUAACCUACCUAUAAGACUGGGAUAACUUCGGGAAACCGGAGCUAAUACCGGAUAAUAUAUUGAACCGCAUGGUUCAAUAGUGAAAGACGGUUUUGCUGUCACUUAUAGAUGGAUCCGCGCCGCAUUAGCUAGUUGGUAAGGUAACGGCUUACCAAGGCAACGAUGCGUAGCCGACCUGAGAGGGUGAUCGGCCACACUGGAACUGAGACACGGUCCAGGCUCCUACGGGAGGCAGCAGUAGGGAAUCUUCCGCAAUGGGCGAAAGCCUGACGGAGCAACGCCGCGUGAGUGAUGAAGGUCUUCGGAUCGUAAAACUCUGUUAUUAGGGAAGAACAAAUGUGUAAGUAACUAUGCACGUCUUGACGGUACCUAAUCAGAAAGCCACGGCUAACUACGUGCCAGCCGCCGCAGUAACAC
rnacentral:rRNA from 1 species